rnacentral:rRNA from 1 species
UACGUAGGGGGCAAGCGUUAUCCGGAUUUACUGGGUGUAAAGGGAGCGUAGACGGCUUUGCAAGCCAGAUGUGAAAGCCCGGGGCUCAACCCCGGGACUGCAUUUGGAACUGUGUGGCUAGAGUGUCGGAGAGGCAGGCGGAAUUCCUAGUGUAGCGGUGAAAUGCGUAGAUAUUAGGAGGAACACCAGUGGCGAAGGCGGCCAGCUGGACGAUGACUGACGUUGAGGCUCGAAAGCGUGGGGAGCAAACAGG